rnacentral:lncRNA from 1 species
CCGCGUUUACUAAAGAUCAUGUUUUUCAAUUAGCUGAAUACAAAUCCUGUCCAAAUAUCCACUACUGUCCUACCUUUUAUUGUGUUUGCACUGUAUAAUCCUGACCUUCACAUAAUCCAAGAUUAUUUUGUAUGGUGGAAUCCGACAUUGUUAUUACAGGAAGUGUUGCCGUGGAGUUCCACGUGCUCUCCAUUUUCUUGUGUCUCUCGGAGCUUUUCGUCAUCUUUACGUAAAAAGCGCGG